rnacentral:rRNA from 1 species
GAUGAACGCUGGCGGCGUGCCUAAUACAUGCAAGUCGAGCGAACGGACGAGAAGCUUGCUUCUCUGAUGUUAGCGGCGGACGGGUGAGUAACACGUGGAUAACCUACCUAUAAGACUGGGAUAACUUCGGGAAACCGUAGCUAAUACCGGAUAAUAUUUUGAACCGCAUGGUUCAAAAGUGAAAGACGGUCUUGCGGUCACUUAUAGAUGGAUCCGCGCUGCAUUAGCUAGUUGGUAAGGUAACGGCUUACCAAGGCAACGAGGCAUAGCCGACCUGAGAGGGUGAUCGGCCACCCUGGAACUGAGACGCGGUCCAGACUCCUACGGGAGGCAGCAGUCGGGAACCUUCCGCAAUGGGCGAAAGCCUGACGGAGCAGCGCCGCGUGAGUGAUGAAGGUCCUCGGAUCGUAAAACUCUGUUAUUAGGGAAGAACAUAUGUGUAAGUAACUGUGCCCAUCUUGACGGUACCUAAUCAGAAAGCCACGGCUAACUACGUG